UUUGGAGCCAGCAUCGAAUAUAUCUGCUCCUAUUUACAGCGGCUGGACACCAAGAUCAGCACCUCCGAGGUGGAGACUCUUCUGGGUCGGCUGCCCUGCACCUUCAAGCAGGAGCUGACGGGCGUCGGGGCGAGCCUGGAGAAACGCUGGAAGUUCUGUGGGUUUGAGGGCAUUAAGACGGCGUAGAGACACGGCUCGGGUUCCCGCUAGAAAAACAAAAACGGCCGAUGGACCGGAGGAGUCACAACCAAUCACCUGCCAGCUCUCCGCGUCCAUCCGCCGCCCCACGAGAUCUCAGACACACUCUAGACCUGGAGAUCCUCAAGACUUUGGUGUGUGUGUAGUAUGAUUUAGUUUGUGUACACACGAGCGCACUCCGGUGUGUGUGUGUGUGUGUGUGUGUGUGUACGUGCACCACGCGAACGGAGCGUACUCUCGCACCACACGGCGAAAAACUCAUCGGGUAAAAAUCAGGGUUUGCUGAACCGAGGACUUGAACCGUCAACAUGCAUUUUCUUGUUUCACCUCCGAUUUGUAAAAAAGACAAAAAUAUAUAAAUAACACGAAUAUAUUUCUUUUCUCUUCUGUAUAGGCUGCGGAAAACAGUUGCAUAGAAUCUUUUGUUCACAUAUCCUGUAAAUGUUUGAAUAACUUGCUAUUUUUAAAUAAAAAAAAAGAACGGAAUCUGC